CCUAUGGGAGGCAGCAGUGAGGAAUAUUGGUCAAUGGGCGCGAGCCUGAACCAGCCAAGUAGCGUGAAGGAUGACUGCCCUACGGGUUGUAAACUUCUUUUAUAAAGGAAUAAAGUGAGGCACGUGUGCCUUUUUGUAUGUACUUUAUGAAUAAGGAUCGGCUAACUCCGUGCCAGCAGCCGCGGUAAUACGGAGGAUCCGAGCGUUAUCCGGAUUUAUUGGGUUUAACGGGAGCGUAGAUGGGUUGUUAAGUCAGUUGUGAAAGUUUGCGGCUCAACCGUAAAAUUGCAAUUGAUACUGGCAGUCUUGAGUACAGUUGAGGUAAGCGGAAUUCGUGGUGUAGCGGUGGAAUGCGUAGAUAUAACGAAGAACUCCGAUUGCGAAGGCAGCUUACUAAACUGCCACUGACAUUGAUGCUCGAAAGUGUGGGUAUCAAACAGGAUUAGAUACCCGAGUAGUC
rnacentral:rRNA from 1 species